GGUGGCUCAGUGGUAGAGUGCUUGCCUAGCGUGCAUGAGGCCCUGGGUUCGAUUCCUCAGUACCA
rfam:Dipodomys ordii contig_21159, whole genome shotgun sequence.